AGCCAUGACUACAAAAACAGAUGAGAUAAGCAUCAGCAAUCUGUCUAUUCUCAAUUACCACACAACAUAAAGAUUUUGUAAACUGUCACCAAUUAUAUGGAAAGGGUUCAAGAGUCUUCAUUGUCAUAAGCUCCGUUAACUAAUCUAUUGUCUUAAUGUUCUUGAGAAUGUAGAAUCUCUUAGAAUAGUUCAGACUCUAUAAAAUUUUCAUUCAUUUCACCAAUUUGUAAACCAUUAUUUUCCUCAGUUUUCAGUUUUCAUAUUAUUUCUUUCUCAAUGACAGAAAGUUUGCUAUGCCCACAUGCAUAUAAUGUAUACUAUAGUAUGAGCGACAACAUCAUACUUACAAA
rnacentral:misc_RNA from 1 species